GUAUUAAAUGGUGCCUAGAGUGUUGAUGAAUGUGAGUCUAAUAAGAGGUAAAUAAACUAUUUCUGAAAUUUCAGAGGUGGGUAAACUGUGUUUACUUGUGUUUAGCCUCCACUCCAU